rnacentral:rRNA from 1 species
AUUGAACGCUGGCGGCAGGCCUAACACAUGCAAGUCGAGCGGAUGAGGGAGCUUGCUUCUGAUUCAGCGGCGGACGGGUGAGUACAGCCUAGGAAUCUGCCCGGUAAUGGGGGAUAACGUUCCGAAAGGAACGCUAAUACCGCAUACGUCCUACGGGAGAAAGCAGGGGACCUUCGGGCCUUGCGUUAUCGGAUGAGCCUAGGUGGGAUUAGCUAGUUGGUGAGGUAAAGGCUCACCAAGGCGACGAUCCGUAACUGGUCUGAGAGGAUGAUCCGGCACACUGGAACUGAGACACGGUCCAGACUCCUACGGGAGGCAGCAGUGGGGAAUAUUGGACAAUGGGCGAAAGCCUGAUCCAGCCAUGCCGCGUGUGUGAAGAAGGUCGUCGGAUUGUAAAGCACUUUAAGUUGGGAGGAAGGGCUUAAGGCUAAUACCCUUGAGUCUUGACGUUACCGACAGAAUAAGCACCGGCUAACUCUGUGCCAGCCGCCGCAGUAAUAC